AUUCUACACAUACAUGUGGUACAUCAUAGCAGUUUUGGGUUCAGAACCAAAUGAAUAAGCAUAGGAUAAGAACAGCAUCAAUCUAAUAAGUACUUGCAACUGUACGGAUAUCUUAUAAUACAAACAGUAAUAACCAUACAUCAACAAAAUUUAGAGGUCCAAAACACUGUCUGCAUAGCUUAAGAUAGGAUCUGUUGACCUUCAGUAUUUCAAGCAUUGUCCUGAAGCUAUAUAUCUUGGUAACACACUUAUAAUGUAGUAUGCAGCACACCACUGCCACCUAGUGACUGGCAAUGUGAGAUUACAAAAGAGAAACUAGAAAGCACAGCUUCAACAUGCACAUUUGGCAAUAGUCAAU